rnacentral:guide_RNA from 1 species
AUAACAACGGAGAUAAGUAAUCUAAGUUUGAAAUUGUAA